rnacentral:tRNA from 1 species
GCGGAUGUGGUGAAACGGCGGACACAGCGAUGAAUAAUCGCCGACUAUCCUAGGUCAUCCGGGUUCAAAUCCCGUCGUUCGCG